GGUCCCGUAGCUCAGUUGGUAGAGCAACUGACUUUUAAUCAGUAGGUCACAAGUUCGAAUCUUGUCGGGAUCACCA
rnacentral:tRNA from 1 species